UACGGGGGGAGCAAGCGUUGUUCGGAUUUACUGGGCGUAAAGGGCGCGUAGGCGGCCUCCGCAAGUCAAUUGUGAAAUCUCCGGGCUUAACUCGGAAAGGUCAACUGAUACUGCGGGGCUAGAGUGCGGAAGGGGCAACUGGAAUUCUCGGUGUAGCGGUGAAAUGCGUAGAUAUCGAGAGGAACACCUGCGGCGAAGGCGGGUUGCUGGGCCGACACUGACGCUGGAUGCGCGAAAGCUAGGGGAGCGAACGGG
rnacentral:rRNA from 1 species